GUCAGACGAUUAACCGACUGAGCCACCCAGGCGCCCCUGGAAGGUAACGAUUUAGACCCAGAUGAUGCAGCUAGUCAGUUGCCUGGACAGAUGAGUACCUGUCGGGGUCUGAACAGUAACGGUCUCGGGGACAGACUCUGGGAAUAUACUUUGUGGGAUGCCUCGCUGCUGCUGCUGGGAUCUGCUGUAAGUAUGCCCAGGUGUGCUCAUUUGUGCUGCUGGGUGUCGUCUAGAACGCGGCACGUUAUAUAUGUAACUGAUGAUUAGCUGUAGCAGUUGAAGGAUGUGAUUUCAACUGCAACAGAAGUUCAGUCCGGCACAAGUAGGAUCAUUUCCAGAAAAUAACCUUUUAAAAAUUGAGAGAUGGGCAUUUAUUUUCUACGAUUCCUGUACCUGAUUCAGUCUUCCGUCGAUUUCUAGCAAUCCUUCGUUCAUUGAGUACGUAAGUUAUUCUUGCAUGCUGGAAAUUUAACGAGGAUCAAGACGUGAUUCAUCUGUCACUACUUCACAUAGGUUAAAUACUCAAAAUCAGAAGACUAUGAGGAGGAGCUGUGGCAGGGUCAAGGCGCUGGAGUAGCUAGAAGGGGGCAUAAAACAUGGCAGUCAAUAGGAGGUCCAGGGUUCUGGGAAAGAGUGGGUCUAUUUUGAGAAGUGAGGAGAUGCUACAAGUUCCCAGACCAUAGUGAGCCGUGGACACGUGUGAGACAAGCAUGUGGACCUUAUAGGUGGAGGCCAACGCACGUUGGGUGGCGUGUGAAAUAACAGGAUGGUGCUGGAGGAGGAGGCUGGGUCAGAGAAGCAUUGUGGUCUUGUAUUUUCAGUGGGAGGGCAUGGGUAGGCAUAGAGGAGACGGCCAUGGAGAGGCUGAGUUAAACAAUAUGGCAGAAGGGCGUCGCUGUGGCUCAGUUGGUUGAGCGUCCACCUCUUGAUUUCGGCUCAGGUCACAAUCUCACAGUCGUGGGAUCGAGUCUCACGUUGGGCUCUGCACUGAGCGUGAAGCCUGCUUAAGAUUCUCUCUCUCUCUCAAAUAAAAAUGAAACGGCAGAGAGGAAUAAAUGGAGAGACUGAAGCCUCAAGAGGCUGUUCUGUCAAAAGACACAAGUUACAAGGGUUACAAGUCCAUCCAGUGCUGUCAGUGAGGAGCCCAAGGCAGGUCCUGAGCCCACGAACCACGAGAUCAUGACCUGAGCUGAAACCAAGAGUCAAUCACUUAACCGCCUGAGCCACCCAGGCACCUCAGGCCAAAGCUUUAGUACAGUUCUCCCAAGCAGUGGAAGAAAGCCUCGAUGGAGUUUGAGUAUAAUCACCAUCUAAGACAAAAGGCAGCCGUUUUUGUCUUUCUCCUUGCUUAUCACGAGUGCCUUCUCGCAGAACUUCUAAAACACCACAGAUGACUUUUAUUCAUGUUUGCAGAGUCUCUUUGAAAUGGGUUUGUUUAAAGACUGCAAGAUAUUAAAGAGUUAGCCCUAUGCCUUUUAAAACCGAAACUGCGUCAGGAGCACCCAAACGACACACAUUUAACACACGUGCUCGUGGCUUAAAGAAAAAAUUCAUUCCAAGCAAACGCUGAACACCCGCUGUUCAUAAAGCUUGCACGAACGCUGAGGAGGAGAAAAACCUUGAAGGCGUGAGGAUGCUAUCAGGGAGCGAUUCUUCUAGUUGCGAAGAAAAUUCCUACACGUGUUUAUGAAGCAGAUGAAUGGUUCUAAGACCAAAAAUAAUAAUCCGUAGGCAUAUGUGUGUAUAGACCUCUAUUACACGUAUAUUACAUAUAUAUGUAUUCUUACCAUUUUUCCUCCCUGAUCCUGCUGAAUACUUAGAUCGUUGUAGGCUGGGUGAGUUGGGGAAGGCUUUUUGAAGUAGGUAAGUUGUUCUUUGUGUUGAAGUGAGUACAGAAUUUAGGUUGGCGGGAAGGAAAAUAAAGCUGAAGAAUGGGGAAGAGCCCAUGGGUGAGAAGCACAGGGUACGAGGAACAGAGAGGGAGAAGCGGAGCCAGUUCAUGAAGAGCCUUGACUUGCUGGAAUAAAGGUUUUAAGUUUGAUUUGGUAAGUGUGUAAAAGCUGUAGUGAGGUCUUUCUUCCUCUGUUGAUUCGCCCAGCUUUUUAUUCAUUAACUUGGACAUCGAUUUAGCAGCUCGGCAAAUAUUUAUUAAGCACCUAGGAUAGAUCAAGCUCUCUCUUACAGGCCUGGAGCGGUGGUUCUCAACCAGGGGCCCUUUUCUCUCCCCGCAGGAGGCCACGGGCAAUGUCUGGAGAUGGUUUUAAUUGUCACACUGGCGAUGGGGUGCUACUUGCAUUUAGGGAGUGGGGGUCAGGGGUGAUUCCCACAACAAGGAAUUUUCAGCCCCGGAUGUCAAUGGUGCUGCUGUUGAGAAACCCUGGGCUAGAAGGUACAAAUGUCAGAGAGAAAGCCCUUGCCCUCUAGGGUUACCAGGGGGAGGGGACACCAUAAGCUAAUAAUUCCAGCACACUAAGGUCCACAGUGAAAAGAGUACUGGGUUAUUUUGAAAGGGCAGGACACCAUGCCAUCGAUUCUGUUUGGGGUUGGAAAGAUUUCUGGAAGAAAGUCACAUUGGAGAUGAACCUUCAAAGAUGAGUUCAAGUUCUAAAUCCUAGGAGGAUUUUCCCCCAUGAAUUUAACAUGACUGACGAAGCCUGCUCCAGGGUAAAACUUUACUGCAAAUUAUCUAACUCAGACGAGGCCUCGUAAUAAAGAGACCGAAAAGGAAUCACGGCCCUUUUGUGGCUUCAAAUGUGGAGUUACCUUUCUCCUUCACCCCCAAUUUCAUGAUUAUGCAUAAUGGAAGUAGGCCGGCUUUGUAAAAAGAUUACACGCAACAAAUGUCCUUUGUGUUCAAAACCAGGGCUCCGCUGCUGCAUAUGGCCAGGAGAGUGUGCGAGUGAGCGGUACGGGGUGGAGGAGAGCCACAAGGCUACCAUUUGAAAGCUUCUUCAAGGGCCGUUCCUACACGUGUGGAACGAUGCUCACGCAUGCUGGGCGGGUACGGCCCUUAGACUCAAGGCAGCACCUUCCGGAAUGGUACUCGGGUUAUCUAUUCGAGUCCAACUCCCUACCGUGUCUGACCAUGGCCUUCCUGGGUUUUAGGUGUUCUAUAAGCUCUACCAAAGCAAGUGUAACCUCCACAAAUGAACCAGUUACACUGGAAAAGGAAACUGGAAGCAGAAUUAUAAACCUCAGUGCCUCCUCUUUCCCCUCUUUGUAGGAGAACGUGUAAGGUGUACGUACGUAAGGUAUAAAAUGUAGUAUCUAGUCUGGGGGAGCCAUGACCUCCCCUCACCUGGGUUUGGUUCCAGACCACCUCACAAUAAAUGGAAUAUCACAAUCAA